rnacentral:piRNA from 1 species
UCCGUGACUAUUACCCCGUUUGG